GGUCCGCGGAACGCGUUCGCGUCCUGCUAUCGCCGCAUUAGCGCGCCAAGAUUGUGGGGCACGGUCGGACCUGCGGAGGCCUUGGCCUCCGUUGCACCUUUACAAUAGAGUCCUGCCUUUUAGAUCGAGUCCCUUAUGAGGGGGCCCUUAGCUCAAGCCUGGGAGAGCCACCUGCCUUGCAAGCAGGGGGGUCAUUCGGUUCGAUCCCGAAAAGGCUCCCACCCAUUUUCGCCCGCUUUCGCGGCAUGGAAUGGGUGGGAAGGCUCACCGCCAGGCGAGGGGGAUCGCGACCAAGAAUACUCCCAGGGAUGAAGACACGAUAUCCUGCUGCAAGGCAGGUAUGCGGAAGGGUUACUUCUGCUGCUUCUUUGACAUUGUGAAUGGGUUUUUAAUCGAUGCCGUGGUGCAUUGGUUUGCAUCUGCGUUGGGCCGCGAGGUUCGAGGCGAUGUGAUCUGAUGUGUCACUUACAGAUGUAAUAUCUGGCUGAGAUUAUCGUCCGCGCCUUAAAGACAACGCAGAUUAUGCAGGUCUGUCGUGAUGUUGAUGCCCAUGCCACUU
rnacentral:misc_RNA from 1 species